rnacentral:rRNA from 1 species
GAUGAACGCUAGCGGCAGGCCUAACACAUGCAAGUCGAGGGGUAGAACACUUCGGUGUUUGAGACCGGCGCACGGGUGCGUAACGCGUAUGCAAUCUACCUUAUACAGGGGAAUAGCCCAGAGAAAUUUGGAUUAAUGCCCCAUAGCAUUACGACUUGGCAUCAAGAUGUAAUUAAAGUUCCAACGGUAUAAGAUGAGCAUGCGUCCCAUUAGUUAGUUGGUAAGGUAACGGCUUACCAAGACGAUGAUGGGUAGGGGUCCUGAGAGGGAGAUCCCCCACACUGGAACUGAGACACGGACCAGACUCCUACGGGAGGCAGCAGUGAGGAAUAUUGGUCAAUGGUCGCAAGACUGAACCAGCCAUGCCGCGUGCAGGAAGACGGUCCUAUGGAUUGUAAACUGCUUUUAUACAGGAAGAAACCCUCCCACGUGUGGGAGCUUGACGGUACUGUAGGAAUAAGGAUCGGCUAACUCCGUGCCAGCCGCCGCAGUAAUAC